rnacentral:rRNA from 1 species
UGGGGAAUAUUGCGCAAUGAGCGAAAGCUUGACGCAGCGACACCGCGUGCGGGAUGAAGGCCCUCGGGUUGUAAACCGCUUUCGGCAGGGACGAAGCGAAAGUGACGGUACCUGCAGAAGAAGGUCCGGCUAACUACGUGCCAGCAGCCGCGGUAAGACGUAGGGACCGAGCGUUGUCCGGAUUUAUUGGGCGUAAAGCGCGCGCAGGCGGCCGUGCAAGUCGGAUGUGAAAACCAGAGGCUCAACCUCUGGCCUGCAUUCGAAACUGCACGGCUAGAGGCAGGUAGGGGAGAGGGGAAUUCCCGGUGUAGCGGUGAAAUGCGCAGAUAUCGGGAGGAACACCGGUGGCGAAGGCGCCUCUCUGGGCCUGUCCUGACGCUCAGGCGCGAAAGCUAGGGGAGCGAACAGGAUUAGAUACCCCCGUAGUCC